rnacentral:rRNA from 1 species
AGAAUCAACGCUGGCGGCGCGCUUAACACAUGCAAGUCGAACGAGAAACGGGAGCAAUCCCUGAGUAAAGUGGCGUACUGGUGAGUAACACGUGGAUAUCUACCUCUUGGUGGGGAAUAACCUGGGGAAACCUGGGCUAAUACCGCAUAAGUUCGUGAGAAGAAAGGCGCAAGUCGCCGAGAGAGGAGUCCGCGGUCGAUUAGGUAGUUGGCAGGGUAAAAGCCUACCAAGCCGAAGAUCGAUAGCCGGCCUGAGAGGGCACACGGCCACACUGGCACUGAAACACGGGCCAGACUCCUACGGGAGGCAGCAGUGGGGAAUCUUGCACAAUGGGGGAAACCCUGAUGCAGCGACGCCGCGUGAGCGAUGAAGCCCUUCGGGGUGUAAAGCUCUUUCGGCAGGAACGAUAAUGACGGUACCUGCAGAAGAAGCUGCGGCUAACUACGUGCCAGCAGCCGCGGUAAUACGUAGGCAGCAAGCGUUGUUCGGAAUUACUGGGCGUAAAGAGUGUGUAGGUGGUGUCGUAAGUUUGGUGUGAAAUCUCCCGGCUUAACUGGGAGGGUGCGCCGAAGACUGCGAUGCUUGAGUAUGGGAGAGGGGGGUAGAAUUCCUGGUGUAGCAGUGAAAUGCGUAGAUAUCAGGAGGAAUACCGAUGGCGAAGGCAGCCCCCUGGGUCGAUACUGACGCUCAUGCACGAAAGCGUGGGGAGCAAACAGGAUUAGAUACCCUGGUAGUCCACGCCCUAAACGAUGUCAACUAGUUGUUGGAGGCCUUACCGCCUUUAGUAACGCAGCUAACGCGUGAAGUGA